GCCUUAUUACGUUAUAAUAGUUUCUGCACUUCGUGUUACGUCGUUUCUACUGUAGCAUAAUAUUUUUGUGUAUAUUCCUGAUACCCGCGCACACGCGAGGUAACGUUACUCAUUUUAUAACCUUUAUGGUGUUAUAUUCAAUCGUGCUUAGGUAGCUAGCUACAUUCUUCUAUUAGCUCUGGAAAACAAUGCUAAUGCGUCAGAGAAGUAUUAGCAUGUAUUGCAUUUUGAAGCUACCCUGGCCUUAUGACUCCCAAGUGGCGCAGCUGUCUAAGGCACAGCGUCUAAGUGCUACAGGCGUCACUACAAACACCCAGGCUCAAAUCCAAUCUGCAUUUCUAUCAAACUCCAAGGCAUAGCGAUUGGUAUCUACUAUGUCUCCCAGCGGCUCCUCUGUCAGAAACAACUUGAAGCACUCUGCCUCAGAUGGAAAUGGGGAGGGGCGUUGCACUCCAGACUGGGACUCAUCAAAGCAAAUGGCAGGACUAGGAGGGGUAAAAUGGCUGGCAGCCUUCCAGCUACCACAGAACUCCUGUACUUCAUCCAUUGUCGGUCUGCCUCCAUCACCACCAGCAUCUUCAAAUGGAACUGGGACUUUGUCAGUGGACAAGGGGGUCCUCAGAUUGAGGGUUCUCAAUGGCGGUGGGGCAGCUUCUCACUGUCACUGUCAGAAUCUGAUUCCUGACUUUCAUACUCAGACUCAUUGUCAGAAUUUAAAAAAAUAUCCAGAAUUUCCGCGUUUGUGAGUUGUCUCCUUUUUGAAAGACAUUGCUAAUGCUACAGCUUAGCUCACUAGCUACAUACAUAAACAACACUGAAUGGCUCAGAGUGGGAGUGAGAGGUUAUGUGAUUGACUGCCGGCACGCACCAUUUAUAUCAAUAAAUCACUAUCAGAAAAUG